rnacentral:lncRNA from 1 species
CUGAAUGUUGGGCACCUCAAGUUGACAUUUUGCAGUGUGGGCCCCACUGAGUGUGCUGCCCUGGCCUUUGUGCUGCAGCACCUCCGGCGGCCCGUGGCCCUGCAGCUGGACUACAACUCUGUGGGUGACAUUGGCGUGGAGCAGCUGCUGCCUUGCCUUGGUGUCUGCAAGGCUCUGUAUUGCGCGAUAACAAUAUCUCAGACCGAGGCAUCUGCAAGCUCAUUGAAUGUGCUCUUCACUGCGAGCAAUUGCAGAAGUUAGCCUGGGGAAUAACUACAUCACUGCCGCGGGAGCCCAAGUGCUGGCCGAGGGGCUCCGAGGCAACACCUCCUUGCAGUUCCUGGGUUCUGGGGCAACAGAGUGGGUGACGAGGGGGCCCAGGCCCUGGCUGAAGCCUUGGGUGAUCACCAGAGCUUGAGGUGGCUCAGCUGGUGGGGAACAACAUUGGCAGUGUGGGUGCCCAAGCCUUGGCACUGAUGCUGGCAAAGAACGUCAUGCUAG